UACGUAGGGGGCAAGCGUUAUCCGGAUUUACUGGGUGUAAAGGGAGCGUAGGUGGCAUAGCAAGUCAGAUGUGAAAGCCCGGGGCUUAACCCCGGGACUGCAUUUGAAACUGCUAAGCUAGAGUACAGGAGAGGCAAGUGGAAUUCCUAGUGUAGCGGUGAAAUGCGUAGAUAUUAGGAGGAACACCAGUGGCGAAGGCGGCUUGCUGGACUGUUACUGACACUGAGGCUCGAAAGCGUGGGGAGCAAACAGG
rnacentral:rRNA from 1 species